rnacentral:sRNA from 1 species
GCAGGGCAUGGUGGCGCACGCCUGUCAUCCCAGCGCUCAGGAGGCUGAGACAGGAGGAUCCAGAGUUCAAAGCCAGCCCUCAGCAACUCAGGGAGACCCUGUCUCAA